GGGAGGUAGUGACAAUAAAUAACAAUACAGGGUUCUUUUGGAUCUUGUAAUUGGAAUGAGUACAAUUUAAAUCUCUUAACGAGGAACAAUUGGAGGGCAAGUCUGGUGCCAGCAGCCGCGGUAAUUCCAGCUCCAAUAGCGUAUAUUAAAGUUGUUGCAGUUAAAAAGCUCGUAGUUGAACUUCGGGAUCAAUUAGUUGGUCAUGCCUUGGUAUGUACUGAUUUUAUUGGUUCUCACCUUCUAAAGAACUAUAAUGUCAUUUAUUUGAUGUUAUAGGGAAUUAGGACUGUUACCUUGAAAAAAUUAGAGUGUUUAAAGCAGGCUCACGCUUGAAUACAUUAGCAUGGAAUAAUGAAAUAGGACAUCGCAUUCUAUUUUGUUGGUUUCUAGGAUCGAUGUAAUGAUUAAUAGGGAUAGUUGGG
rnacentral:rRNA from 1 species